GCAUUGGUGGUUCAGUGGUAGAAUUCUCACUUCACACGCAGGAGACCUGGGUUCGAGUCCCAGUCAAUAGCC
rnacentral:tRNA from 1 species